GACAGAGGUGCCGAGCGUUAGGCGGAAUCACUGGGCUUAAAGCGUGUGUAGGCGGGUCGUUAAGUGUCUUGUGAAAUCCCCCGGCUCAACCGUGGAACUGCUGGGUAUACUGGUUGUCUUGAGCCAGCUAGGGGCGAGCGGAACAGACGGUGGAGCGGUGAAAUGCGUAGAUAUCGUCUGGAACGCCGAAGGUGAAAACAGCUCGCUGGGGCUGCGCUGACGCUGAGACACGAAAGCCAGGGGAGCGAACGGG
rnacentral:rRNA from 1 species